CGCCUUCAAAUCUUAAGCUGGAGCGCCUAUAUUGCGGAUGUCCGGGCAACCGGACUAUGGCGAUAAACGGCCUCGUAAUAAGCGGACCGGACCCGGGGGCGGUACCCGGCGCCUCCACCAUAAGCCCAUUGCGAUGGGUUUUUGUGGGGGCGAAACAGGAUCGACGGACGUGUAAAGUCUGUCCUUUC
rnacentral:tmRNA from 1 species